AGUGAACGCUGGCGGUAGGCCUAACACAUGCAAGUCGAACGGCAGCACAGGAGAGCUUGCUCUCUGGGUGGCGAGUGGCGGACGGGUGAGGAAUACAUCGGAAUCUACUCUGUCGUGGGGGAUAACGUAGCGAAACUUACGCUAAUACCGCAUACGACCUACGGGUGAAAGCAGGGGACCUUCGGGCCUUGCGCGAUUGAAUGAGCCGAUGUCGGAUUAGCUAGUUGGCGGGGUAAAGGCCCACCAAGGCGACGAUCCGUAGCUGGUCUGAGAGGAUGAUCAGCCACACUGGAACUGAGACACGGUCCAGACUCCUACGGGAGGCAGCAGUGGGGAAUAUUGGACAAUGGGCGCAAGCCUGAUCCAGCCAUACCGCGUGGGUGAAGAAGGCCUUCGGGUUGCAAAGCCCUUUUGUUGGGAAAGAAAUCCAGCUGGCUAAUACCCGGUUGGGAUGACGGUACCCAAAGAAUAAGCACCGGCUAACCUCGUGCCAGCAGCCGCAGUAA
rnacentral:rRNA from 1 species